rnacentral:rRNA from 1 species
UUACACAUGCAAGUCGUACGGAAGUUUUUAACUUUAGUGGCGGACGGGUGAGUAACACGUAAGAAUUCGCCUUUAGGAGGGGGAUAACAACUGGAAACGGUUGCUAAUACCCCAUAUGCUUUCGAGUGAAACGGUUUGUCCGCCUAAAGAGAAGCUUGCGGCUGAUUAGCUUGUUGGUAAGGUAAUGGCUUACCAAGGCGACGAUCAGUAUCUGGUUUGAGAGGACGAUCAGACACACUGGAACUGAGACACGGUCCAGACUCCUACGGGAGGCAGCAGUGGGGAAUUUUCCGCAAUGGGCGAAAGCCUGACGGAGCGAUACCGCGUGAGGGAUGACGGCCUAUGGGUUGUAAACCUCUUUUUUCAGGGAGGAAUCAAUGACGUGUACCUGAAGAAUAAGCAUCGGCUAACUCCGUGCCAGCAGCCGCGGUAAGACGGAGGAUGCAAGUGUUAUCCGGAAUCACUGGGCGUAAAGCGUCUGUAGGUGGUUUAAUAAGUCAACUGUUAAAUCUUGAGGCUUAACCUCGAAAUCGCAGUCGAAACUAUUAGACUAGAGUAUAGUAGGGGUAAAGGGAAUUUCCAGUGGAGCGGUGAAAUGCGUAGAUAUUGGAAAGAACACCAAUGGCGAAGGCACUUUACUGGGCUAUUACUAACAAGGAGAGACGAAAGCUAGGGUAGCAAAUGGGAUUAGAUACCCUGGCAGUC